AGAAAUUUAUGGAAAAUUUUGUUACGUCUAAAAACAACACAUAAGUAUAUGUACCAGCAUGUCUAUUUUUAGGUAAGUUUAGUUAGCUUCGAUAAGACCGAUCUUUAAGUAAAAGUCUCGCCAACACUGUAGAGAGCAUCCCACAAAUGAUGGACGGAUUUGAAUUGACCUCAAACAAGAAUGUAAGUAGGUGAGGACAUUGGUUCAGGCUGGUUCGGGCCCAAAACUCCAAUUCAGUCCAACCCUCGGGUGAUAUAUAGAACAAGAGAGAAGGAAGAAAGAAAAACGGGAACACAAACAUAAAAACGAGAAAAAUGAGAGAGGGAAGAAAAGGUUUGUGACUAAUUUGUGGGUAAGAGAUUUCAGCCACCUCUAUUUUUUUCUGUUUCAUUUUCUUAUAAAUUUAGGGUUUUGAUUUUGUAGUUAGGGUUUGUGUUCUUAAAAUAUUUCUUAAACUGAAUUCGAAGAAAGGAACAACAUGGACUGGAGAAUAACAUAGGUGUCUGAAAUAUUUUACUUCAAUUUAGGUUUUGAUUGUGUAUUAUUGUCUAACUAACAAUUUACUGUUUUUACAAUGUUGUCGGUGUUUUACAAUUUUGAUUUCUUUCUUCAAUAUUUUAAACAGGGAAACAAAAGAGAUUUAGAAAGGAAUAUUUUGACCAACAACUUUAAUGCAGAUGUGGUUAGAAAUCAAUUUAUUCGUAAUCGGGUCCAGUUUGAAGUUUGUGUAUUAUAUCUUCUAAUCUGAGUUUUUUAUUUAUUUUAAGCUUUACAUGCAUGAUCAACGCAUCUCUAGAAUCUGUCGAUAUUGAUAUUCUGUUAUUUAUUUUCUAUUAUGACUUGAAAUCAUUCUCUAACUUAAUUCAACAGAAUUUGACAGUGGAGGAACAAUGACUCAAAUGGAAAUCAUUAUGGUGGGCAUGGUUAUGAUGCAAAGGUCCUAUUGCUCGUACGCCUGUAAAUUAUAACGUUAGCUUGCAAACAACAGUAUCAAGGAUAGUGAUGGCGUUCACGGUGUUAAUGACGUUUAAAUUUUUGACAAAACAGUUAUAUUUCACUAUCAAAGUAAUGCUAGCAGCAAUAAUUCUUUCUACUAUACCAAGACUUAUUGAUUAUAAAAAAAACAUAUGAAAUGUGGAAAGUUGAUAAAUUAGAUUUUAUUACAUGUGCUGGAGCAUUCUUUGGAGUGUUGUUUUCAUGUGUGGAAAUAAGCCUUGCAAUUGGAGUAUGACUAUCUAUUGCAUUUUAUUUACAUCUUUUUGAUUUCAUUUUUACUUCAACUGAUAAAUAUUACAGGCCGCGUUAUCAUUUGUAAAGAUAGUUUUGAUAUCGAUUCAACCUAGAAUGUGUUAAGCCAUUGUGUUAAUUUAAUGGACAUCUUUGUCAUAGGAAAACAUACUGUGGUUGGAAUCGAUAGUUAGCUACGAAAGUUGAGAUUUAAUUUAUGUACAAAAUUGAAAUCAAGUAUUUAUGUUUCUUUAACUACAAUAUUAAAUAAGUUGUAACUUAUUUCUUUAAUAUUUUGAUCCAUGUGUAAUUGAACUUGGUGUUUAUGAAAUUUUAGGUUUUCCAUUGCAGGGCAUCGUAGCUGAUACAUCAAAUAAUGCGAUCUUUCAAGUCAUCAAGGCAUUGUUUAACAUGAGGAUCCUUAAACUUUAUGUGUGUGCCUAUCGACUCGAAAAAAUGCAACCUGCUACAUACUUUAUAUCUAUCAACAUUGAUUUCCCAAACUUUCUUGGACAUUGGUUCUGUUUCAAGGAUAUUGGAUGGCAUCAUGAAGCUUUCCCUGCAAUUUUACUGGGAUAUUGAGAACCAAGCUAACUUCUCCAAUACUUCUGAAUUGGAUCAUAUAGAUGAGGUGAGGGUGGAUUUCUAGCAUUUUUGUGACAAACCUUUAAUUUAUAAAACUUUGGUUAGUUAAUUUAUGAUUUCACCAUUCUAAUUAAUAUAAUGAAAUUUUUGAAAUUUUUAGAAACAACCCUUAUUCAAUCCCCCCCUUUCUAAGUGUUUUCACUCCAUCAAUUGGCAUCAGAGCGUCGGUUCUAGGUGCAAACACUUAAUCGUGUUAGAGAAAAGAUUCAGGAGAAAAACACAAAAUGGUUGAUCCAGCUCCAACUCCUACUGAGCAGAACAACAAUGGUAACAAUGGAGGUAACAACUUCAAUGGUUACAAUAGACCACCAAUCUUUGAUGGUGAGAACUUUGAAUAUUGGAAAGAUAGACUUGAGAGUUAUUUUCUAUGUCAAGAUGGUGAUCUAUGGGAUUUAGUGUUGGAUGGUUACACACAUCCGGUGAAUGCUCGUGGAUUCAAGAUUACUAGAAAAGCUAUGAGUGAUGAUCAAAAGAAAGAGUUCAAAAAUCAUCACAAAAAAAGAACUAUAUUGUUAAAUGCCAUUUCACAUGCUGAGUAUGAGAAGAUCACAAACAGAGAAACUGCUCAUGACAUCUUUGAAUCUCUGAAGAUGACUCAUGAAGGAAAUGCACAAGUCAAGGAGACAAAAGCUCUGGCUCUAAUUCAGAAGUAUGAAGCUUUCAGAAUGGAAGAUGAUGAAAACAUUGAAGCAAUGUUCUCCAGAUUCCAGACUCUGACUGCAGGAUUAAGAGUUCUUGACAAGGGAUACACAAAAGCUGAUCACAUUAAGAAGAUAAUCAGAAGUUUACCCAGAAGAUGGGGACCAAUGGUUACAGCAUUCAAGAUUGCAAAGAACUUGAAUGAAGUAUCUCUUGAGGAGCUUAUAAGUGCUCUGAGGAGUCAUGAGCUUGAGCUAGAUGCGAAUGAGCCUUAGAAGAAAGGUAAGUCUGUUGCUUUAAAAUCUAAAAAUAAAAAUUGUGCUAACGCUUUUCAGGCAGAAGAAGAAGGAUCUGACCAGUCAGAAGAAGAAGAAGACGAUGAAUUGUCUCUCUUAUCCAGAAGGGUGAAUCAACUCUGGAAGAGAAAGCAGAGAAGAUUCAAGAACUUCAAGAGACCUAAAAAGGGAGAAUCUUCUGAACACAGAAGAUCCGGAAAGAAGAAGGUAGUGUGCUAUGAAUGUAAAGAACCUGGACACUACAAGAAUGAAUGUCCUAAGCUUCAGAGGGAAAAUCCCAGAAAGAAGUUUGAAAAAAAGAAAGGCAUGAUGGCUACAUGGGAUGACUCUGAUUCAUCUGAUCAAGACUCAUACUUUGAAGAUGAAUGUAAUACGGUGGGAGAACUGACUUUUUUGAAAUGUUGCAGAUAGCAAGAGUCGCCACCGACUUUUAUUUUAUCCAAUUUUGGAAAGGCUAAAAGAACAGAAAAAGACCUUUUAAAAGAACUUUGAGUUUGGCUGGUAAGUUAUACAAAGGGAAGGUGUAAGCACCCUUUGUAUCCAUGGUUAUCCAUGGGCUCUUAAUUGCUUAGCUCACUUUGUUUGUUUGAAUUGUUUGAAAAGUGUCGUGUGUGAAUAGGAAAAGUUUUGAAUAAGGACUUUAGCUUGUAAAUAAGCGUAGCCUUUUGGAAAUUAUUUUGAAAAGGAUGUGUGAAAAGUAAUUUGAAAGUUGUUGUGAGCAAGCAGUUAAAAGCACCUACCCUAAGUUUAAUGUCUUUCUUGUUCUUUAAGAUUUUCGUUUGAAAGGGCUAUCCAUACCAUAAGGAGGGCAGGUAGUCUUUUCAUUGGAUGUGCGGGUCAUCGAAGGGUCAUCGAGAAUUAUCGUUCGCCAUAAGGCUAUCCAUACCAUAAAGAGGGUAGGAAGUCUCAAGGAAGGAUGAAAUAGUAAUUUAGGCAACCAGUGAGGAUACCUUAGCAAUUGGGACAAUCAUCAUUUACCGAGGCAACAUCGAGGGACAAGAUCAUUUUUCUGUUAGGCAACUUUGAAGGGACAUAUGAUCUUAUGAUGAUUUAUGAACUGAGGGAAACAUUUGCUUUAGGUAUCCUCGUAUUCGAGGGACUUGACUAUUUUAGAAUUUAAAGGCAACAAGCAACAAAAGAGGUUACCCUAAAGGUGUGUGUGUGGCACAAUCAGGUGAUCAAUAUUCAGAUAUUUUAUCUUGUAAUUAGAAUGAUACUAGGUUAAUUUUAGCAAGACUUGCACUCCCUAGGAUUACUAACCACAGCGGAAAAAUAAACAGAAUUAAAUGUCCUACGCUAUUACAAUAAACACCUGUAGGGCUGAAAAAUAAAGGCAGGAAAGUAAACCUAAACUAUUACAAUAAAACUUUGCGCCCUAUACAUAGUUUCUAGAAUUUAAAUGGCAGAAAUUAAAAUAAAUUAAAAUAAAGGCAAAUAAUUUAAAUAAAUUAAAAUAAAGGAAAGUAAUUUAAAUAAAUAAAAAACGAAAUUUAAAUAAAAUAGAUAAUUAAAAUUAAAGGCAUGCGACAAUCAAGGGAGUAUGAGGUGAGAAGAUAAUUGCGCUUGAAAAAAUUCAAUGUUUGAUUACAAAAGGUAAACCUAAACCUACGGUUAAUGGGCAACACCUACCUUAAGAUCUCUAGGGUUAUCUAUGGUUUGUUGAAGUUAAAGACUAAACCUAAUUGUAAACCUAAAAUUAAUUUAAAAUUAUUAUACCUAAAAUUAAUUAAAAUUAUUAAACCUAAAAUUAAUUAAAAUUAUUAAACCUAAAAUUAAUUAAAAUUAUUAAACCUAAAAUUAAUUAAAAUUAUUAAUUAAUUACCCUAAUUGGCCUAAUUAUUCUAAUUCUAAUUAUUAAAACCUAAUUAAAUAUCUAAAAAAACUAACUUGGUUAAUUAUUAUUAUCCUAACCUUAAUCUAAGUUUUAAUUGGUUAAUUGGGAAAUAUGAACUAAUUAAAUACCAAAUAAAAAAAAGAAUAAAACAAAUAAUAAAAUAAAGAAGAAAGAGAGAGUCAAAACUGGGCGUGUAGGAUUCUGUGUGGUUGUCCAUUGAGGGUCCAUCGUGGUGAGGCUUUAUCUGGAGCGUCGGAUCAGGCCACACGAGCAUCUAAUGGCUGGAAAGGAGAGCAUACCCUGGGCGCAUGAGGGAGAGAAGCGCUGGAUCCGUGAUCAAGUAAAUGGAAAAAAAUGUUGUCUGGCCUGGGGAUCGAACACAGGACCCAGCGUUCAACACAUUCUUUACCAUAUCUGCAGCAAUCAUCUUUUGUUAAAUAAACACGCGAAAUAAACUAAAUAAGGAUAAAUAAAUAAACGGUGAAAAGUCAAAAGAUUAGGACUCGGACCCAUAUGUGCACAGAGAACCAAUAAGGGUGAGAGAGAGAAAUCAAAAGGUGUUGACUGGCCACUCAGAACUCUCCACGCGCGAUCAGAAAGGGAGAGAGAAAUCAAGCUCGUUGACUGGGCGAUGAUGGCUUUCCACGCGUGCAACCUUUGAUGGACACCACUGUUCAUCUUCUUCGUUGAAAUUACCUUCGGAUUUACUUAGGAUUUUCACUACAACUUUUCUUGCGAUAAAACCUGGGUAACUAAAACAUACAAAAUAAACGUCAAAGCACAAACUGAAUUGCCUAGAUCUCCUUAAAAUCAUCUCCUGGUCAUGAAUAUGACCUUCGUUUUGCUUAAAAGCCCCUGAAAAUAAGAACACGAAAGGCAAGCUUCAUAGUGCCCUAGGCCCCUAGAAAUGUUGUUCUUCGUUAUGUACCUUAUUAGUCUAAACUAAUGGUCCAGACCUUCUUAAAAAUAUGCAUAAGACUCAAACAAAUUGUUAGUUCAAGCAGAAACACGAUAAUAUGCAAGAUAUGGAAAUUAGAAUGAUUAUGGAGCAUAUGAAAUACGUAUUCUGGACAUCAUAGAGCUUGGUUCUUGAUCCAACAUUACCUUCUAAUACCUCAGAGGUUGAAUGGAACGAUCAAAAGGCGUUGAAACUUGUUGUACGAGAAAAGCUCGAUUGCCCUAGUUUCUUUGUAUUUUAGCAACGUGAUAACCUUGUUUUUGCUCCACUUUUUUCGUCCCUUCUAUUGUGUAUGGCAUGAGGUAUAUAUAAGGGUGUGAAUUAGGGUAAAAAUCUUGCUUGGAAAUCAAGUUGAAUGGAGAGAAGAAAAUUGAAAAGAUUUGAUUGAAAAUUUAUGUAAAAUCUUGCUAUUUUUGUUUCAAUCUCUUUCCAAUCACCAUAUUUGAUUUAUUUGAGUUUUAAGAAUGAUUUUGUGAUUGAAAAAAUCAAAUCAUGCACCAAUUUGAUUUUUAUUUAUUUUUUCUUGAUUUAAUUUGAAUAAAAUCAAGAAAUAAAAAAAAUAAAAAAAAU